GCUGCGUGUCGUUACAGAAGCAGGAGGCUUGGUAUCACUGUUCUGUGCUUCCAGAGUGGCAGUAAAGAACUUGAAAAUCGAGUGGAAACUUCUCCAGGAAGUUAAUUCAUGCCGUUCAGUACCUGCAAAGAAGCAAAGGAUACCACAGACAAAAGCUAAACAAGGCUCAUGGGCCUAGAUGGGAGAGUUGCGGAUGAGAAAUACCAUCACAACACCUUUAAAAAAAGAAAGUGGAGUACCGAAGAAUCUCACCAAUUUAGCCUUAAUAUGACCUUCACAUAUAAUAUUUAGUGUUUUUUACAGCCUUAAUAAACUGUGACAUGUCAAAUAACGUUGAAGUUUUGCGCAAACCAGCAACAUAAACAGUGAGAGCAAAACUGUGACAGGGUCCUCUUCCAUUUUCCCCGAUGUUUUCUAUAUCGGUGCUAUCAAAUUUGGCAGCCCUGAGAAAUGCAAUUAAACACUAGCUUUAAGGCAGCCGCCAGUGAAUGUGCUCUGAUGGCUGCAGAAAUGACCCUUGCUUAUUAGAUUAACUCCUAGCUGGCCAGUAUUAAUGAUGACAGCCAAGGUGAAGGGAGUAUGUGGGAAGAGAACACUGGGGAAGAUUUGGUGACUGAAUGAUUACUGUUUUGGGUCAAGUUUAUCAAACUACAAAUCAUUAAGAUAAUACCCUUUGCAAAAACAUAUCUCACUUGUGUAGGGUAAGCUGGUAGACUUUCACUGAAAAUGCUCAACAUACCAAAAACCUUUUAUAGAAAUCUCAUGUUCCUAAUAGGAGAUGAUGUGCAACAUAUCUCUUAGUGCAUUUAAACAGCAUUUUCAGAGGUUAAAACAACACUUAACAUUUUGAUAUCUAAUGUAAGUGCUAUCUACACACUACAACCUAGCUUAAAUGUAUUUAGUGAAAAAAUGCCAUCCAUUAUUUUGACUGAAUGGUUUAAAAAGAACUUCCAAAAGUAAAUUUCCUUGAAAACAAACUCUACUGACUUAGACUGACACGGCUAUCAUAUAAUUAAUAGAGAAUGGCUGCCUUACAUAAAAUUUUUCACUUUUACCAUUAGCUACAAGUGUUACAGAUACUAUUUAAAAAAAAGUUUUAAUUACGAACAGAGUUCAGGAUUGUGAAGAUAGCUCAAAUAGCUGUCAAACUAGAGACCUAUUACUCUGCUAGGUCUACAGACUGCAAGUGGCCAACAAACUGCUCCUCUGCUUGGUACUAGAUUGCUCGCCUAUAAUCAGUGCGCAGGCAGAAUGAACAGGAAGGCAGCACACGCUGAUUUAAAUGCAUUAACCUGGGAGUAACGAGCCUUGCAGACAUAAUUAGAAACAACUAACUACAAAAUCAGUAACAACUAAAUUAGGGCAGAAGUCACGGCGCUUGUUCAAAUUUUGAAACCAUCAGAGCUCUUUUGUUUUCAACAAUUUUUGUUAUGUUUUUUUCUCCUCUAAUAAUUCACUGUGACGGAGGGAACAGAGGAAGCUUUUUUUUGUAUGGAAGAUUUCGCCUCCCCUGUCAAAUUGACUGGAUCACUUUCAAGAUAAUUGAGUUUGAUCUCCCUGUGACUUGAACUUUGCAAGUUUUUUUUUUUACUCUUAUUGCUUCUUUAUGAUCAUUAUUAAUGUGUGCAAUGAGAUAUGACAGUGAUCCUGUCGUAACUAAGGGCAAUCCUGUUUUAUUACCAAAAGUUAAAUUUGGUAACAAGGACUAUUGUGGUGAUUGUAAAAUGAUAUAUAUUAGGUAAAUGUAAAGUAAUUCAAAGUAAUGCUACCAGUAAUACUUCGGAAAAAUAUCUAGGCUUCUUUUAUAAUUUUAGUUUCCACCUGAGGUACAUUGUUUAAAGUUUUGGUUUGUUUGUACUCAUGACUUAUUUGAACUAAACUUUGUCUAAUCCAGAGUCACAUAAUUACAUUAUAAUUCGUAAUUGAAAACAAAGAACAUGGAACAAAGUGAUAAUUUAUUAAUCAGCACUUGCAUGUUUUAACACUUAACUCGUAUAAAUAUCUACCUACUCAUCUACCAACCACAUAUGUUGGUCAGGAUGACAAAGAGCCAAAAAGCCAUUUCAUGCAGCAUAAAGCUGGUUCAUCAUAGGGCGUGAACAUGCACACAGACACAGACAGACACACAUAUACACACAGACUGGAAACCCAUGUCACACAAGGACAACAUGCAACCUGCCCACACACAGGGCAGAGUUGGGAUUCAAACCCCCAACCCUGGAGAUGUGAGGUGCGACCCACCCACCGUGUCCUCAAGGACAAAUAAAGAAAUGCCCUGAUGAUUUUAUUCACAACACAUACACAUUACCAUAGGCACCGUUUGCUUCAAUUAUGUAAAGUGAAAAGAAAUACUUAAUCUGAAAAGAAAUGUUACCCUUCAGAAAUCACAGAUAACCAAUCCUACCGUCCUACAUUACAAUGAGUAUUAACAUUUAAGGUUUUAAAUUUUAGUAUUACACCUGAUAUACCAUUUUUGAAAAAGGGUCAUGUGGCAAGACCUUUCCAACUAGGCCAAAAGGGAAGAUCUUCUAAUUUUUUGUGUAUUGCACUACACACACAAACACACACAAACAAACAAACAAACAAACACACACACACACACACACACACACACACACACACACACACACACACACACAAAUCUGGUUUAAUGCCCAAAACAAAAAUGUUCAUGCCAAUUUGCACCAUACUAACCUUCACAUGAUAAUAACUACACACAAUCCAGCAUUACAGCGUUUGUUCAUAUUUAAUGAACAUGUGUAAGUGGGGUCCUUUGUAGUACUGUCUUAAUUACUUUACUAGUUGAAGCAAAUCUCAUUAUGCAAUGGAGAAAGAUGGAAGACUAGAUGUUGAGCUUAUUAGGACCUGCCAUGUACUGGUAAAUGGAAAGGGAAUGCAGAUUUGCCAAAUUCCAAAUGUAUAACACAAUUAAUUUUUUUAUACGAAUCUAACUAAUUCUGGAGACAAAGUUUUUCAGCAACUGAAGUAAGGAAAGCUACAGUCUAGUAAUGAAUGUUGCCCAAUAAUGACUUUUAAUAUUUUUAAAUUUCACCAGUACAUUUGAAUUACUGGCAUUUGAUUAAAAACUUAAAAAAAAAAUUAAACUACUGAACAAAUGUCUACAGGAUGUAGCUCUUCAUAUGUAGCAUAUUUUGGUAUCUGCCUAUUGGCACUUGUCUGACGUAAUUGGGGCACAUUCUUUAAUUUAAAUAAUUCAGUUAAACUGUAGGGACAUGAAAUUAAUUUCUGUCACCCUGAAUAUUACCACAGCUCUUGAAUUGUUCUGGAACCAGUUUGCCCAAAAACUUUUUAAAUGUUUUCAACUUGUCAUUUGGUUCCAUCAUGUUAACUUGUGCUUUUAAGUAAACAUGUUGCAAAUAUGUUGUAAUGUCAAGUGUAUUAAUAAAACAAAAUAAAGCAAAUUUGCAAGAUCUUCAGCUAAAA